rnacentral:tRNA from 2 species
GCUCUCUUAGUGCAGUAGGCAGCAUGUCAGUCUCAUAAUCUGAAGGUCCUGAGUUUGAACCUCAGACAGGGCA